CUCAUAGAUGACGGUCGUGACCCAGGCUUCCAUCGGAUGGGGCUGUCACCUCCAUCCUCUAUCUCGUCACAAGCGGCGGCAGAAGCAGGGCCGCGCCGUCUUGGAGGAGGCACAAGGAGGGCUGUGCCACCUUGGAGGAGGAUCCACGCCUCCGUCGGACGAGGCCGUCUCCUCCAUUACCGAUCCCGUCGCGAGCGUCCGCAGAAGAGGGCCGCGGUGCCUUGGAGAAUGCUGUUACCAGGUCGCUUGUUCUUGCCGUUGCUGCGCCGGAUCUGUUGUUGCGGUGGUCAAUCUGUGGGUGCUGCUUCUAUUGGUAGAUCCCCUCCUCGGAUUCCCGUCCGAUCUGUGCCGGCUUUCACGUCUUCGUCCAGGGAACUACAGGUCGACUCCUCCUCUCUUUCCUUUCUCAGUUCCUUUUUAUUUGCAGAACUAGGCUUUGCGUUCGUGCGUCGGUCUAUGUUUGUUGUCUUCUCUGUACAGGGAUGUUUGUUGGAUUCGGUUCAUGUGUUGGUUAGCCGCUGUUAGAUUCGGUUGGUUUGCAGCCUCCAGAUGUCGGAUAAAGGCAGCUGCGAUGGGGAGACAGCUCAAGACAUCAUACACGAAGCUAGCCACAAUUCAGCAGAGUGGUGACCCUGUUGUGCCACCAGCACCAACAUCUCGUAUGUCUGUCGAGUAUGCUAUCGAAGUCAUACAGACAUUCGAUGAGUUCAAACGAUUUUUUGUCACGAGCAUUGGCUUUGGCGGCAUGCUCCAACCUCAAAUGUUGCAGAAACUGAACCUGAAAUUCAGUGCUUGGACGAUGAGCAAGGUCAGCACCACCCGUUGCGCCAUUGUAUUGGCUGAGAACACGAUACUUAAGUUUUGGGCAGAGGAUGUUCACAAAAUCUUUGGAAUCCCAUGUGGACAUCACAACAUAAAGGGUCGGGAUGGCGGCAUCAAGCCCGAGGCAAUUAAGUUUAUAAAGUCCACGUUGGGGAUGCAGACAAAAAGGCGUUCAGUGCCACCCAAAGUUUUUCUUAUGAGGGAUAUAUCUGAAUCAUCGAUCAAGCUUGAGAAGGACUGCUUCCAAAUCGCCUUCGUCAUUUUUGUCAUGGGUCAUGUACUUGUGCCCACCACAAAGCAUGAUUAUGCCACCAUUGAUUUCUGGGGAGCUCCAGCCAACACCGAUGAUAAACCAGUUCAACUGGUGUGAGUAUGUGCUCGAAUGUCUACUUGCGGGUGUAAGGAGGCUUAAGAAUGACAUCCUUUCAAACAACCCUGCCACGAGCCUCUUUGGAUGUCACUUGUUUCUCCAGAUUUUCCUGCUCGACAACCUCGACCUGGGGAUGUUUAACAAGCCACAUACCGUGCUGCCGAGGGUUAGUGUUUUUUACCAGGACUCACUCUGCGGGAUGACAAACAUGCUACUGAUGUUGGCAAAGGCGGCUAUUUCUUAUGCUUCCGCACCGUUACACCACCUGUCAACUGUUUGCUAUGCCCGUUUCAAGCACUCUGCCGCCUAGCAGUCAGAGUCAAGAAACACAGGAAAAGCACCGGUUUAGCAAUCACCUUCAUGCGGUGGUAGCACAUCCAAAAACAACGCAAAACGAUGUUCCAAACCCUGCAUCUCCACACCAUAUGGUUGAUGAACUCACCGGCACAACCAUACAGCUACUAGGUCCGAUGGACUUUGCCAACUACUACGGAGGCAGUAUCCCUACCUGAUUGGCGAUGAGAUCACAGUUCUCUUGAAGGAAGUAAAUGCUCGUUGACUCUCUCACCUCGCAACUGCGCGAGGUCACAUCCAACUUGACAUGAUGAAGUUUUCUGACAAGAUGAUUGCUGCAACAAGCCGCACAUGCACUUGUUGUGUAGCACGUGCCUUUGUGGAGUGUCCACCUAGAGGCGCCACCACAAACAACAGUUCGUUUUGCUCACAGUUGUAUGUGUUUCCUAUCGACGAAUCCUCACACACGUUAUGUGUGAACAAAAUAUGUUUUUUUAUCUCUGACAGAUGAUGACAACACUACCCCAGUUAGAACGGCGAUUGCUGGGCAUCGCCUUCACCUAUCGCCUUGUGAAGGCAAUACUUCUUUGAGCAAGCGGAUCGAACCGUUCACACAGCUCAUCAGACCAAUGUACCACAGAUGGAUACUGCGCUCCAACACAUUUUGCAUACGAUGACCCUGUUUGCGAAGGAAAAUUUACAAGCCAUAAGUGAACUCUACAUCGACCUCCCAAACGAUGCACAACUGAUUUUGGCCAGAGGCGUCUGGAACUUCCUUGCCGGAAACACAUAUACCAGCCUGGUUUCCAAACCAAUCCUUGGGGCAGAGGAGUUGUCCCCUACCCUCCACAAGCUGGUGUUGCUCAACUCCUUGAGCAGUUUUUCAUCUCUGCACCAGACAACGAGCUAUCCCGCAACUUCCUUGUUCAUGAGGAGCCAAGAUUUGUUCGGAUAACCGGCCAUGCGAUUAGGGACCAGCUUGUCGGCAACAGACUAAUUGGCCAUGAACUGAUGUCUUUGGUUUUCUGCCAUUUUGAUCAACUUGAUUGUCAAGCGGAAACGGAAAGCCCUUAUUUAAGCUGGAGUACCCUAUAGAACCUGAUUUCUCAACUCUGGUGUUGUCCGAUUCUGAUUUCUUGCACACGCUCUCAAUAGAGAAGCAGUUAUCCGCCGACUCGCUCAAGUAUGACAUAACAUCGUCCCAAAUGUUUAUCACACCGGUGCGGCGCCCGAAUGGCUGGAUGAUCGUAGUUUGGGAUAUGCUACAGAAAAUAUUAAAUGUCAUCGACCCUCUUUAUGCCAAAAUUUCAACUAAGCACCCCUACAAGGAAUGCGACGAAGCCUUGGCAUGGAAGCUGCACAGUGCAUUAUUCGCAUGCCUUCAUGAAUUCUAUGCCGGAUGGCCGGCAGCCAAGGAAAACUGGCGGAUCAAGCAUGAUCCCACAACUGAUGACAUCCUUACGGCUGAUGAGACAGACGUCUGCGCCAGCCGCAUUGCUCGGCAUUUUGACGGAGACAAGCUUAAGCUGCCUCUUACGCAGCAUAACACAUCCAAAACAAAGAAGGAUGCCCUGCAUGAGUGCUUGAAGCUGCAGGGUAACUUCUCCUAAAACACUCACAAGGCACCGUGGAAAGUCUCAACCAUCAGACUCCGCCUUCGACGACUAGGAAGCCUCCUUGAACAAUCAUUGUACGAACUUUCAUGCAUCACAUCAUCAUAGUUAUCUAUAGCUUUCCCAUAAGAGUAUUUUGGUUUGUAAGUUAAUACAGUAUCACGAAUAUGCAAGCUAUGUCGCUUCCAGACUCUGCUAAAACAACGUAUGAGGUCUACUCUGCUUCCCAUUGCUUGUUCAUCUAGACCCUGUAUACCAGUUUGGUUAUGCAUCCUAUACCGAACAUUUUGGGUUGUAAUUCGGUACAAUAUCAUGAACUUGCAAGCUUUGUCGGCUCCAUA